AUUGAACGCUGGCGGUAGGCCUAACACAUGCAAGUCGAACGGCAGCACAGUAAUAGCUUGCUCUUACGGGUGGCGAGGGGCGGACGGUGGAUGAAUACAUCGGAAUCUACUUUUUCGUGGGUGAGAACGUAGGGGAACUUACGCUAAUACCGCAGAGGGCCUACGGGUGAAAUCAUCGGAUCUUACGACCUUACAUGAGCGAAGGUCGGAUUGGCUAGUUGGUGGGGUGAAGGCGUACCAAGGCGCCGAUCCGUAGCUGGUUUGAGAGGAUGAUCAGUCACACUGGAACUGAGACACGGUCCAGACUCCUACGGGAGGCAGCAGUGGGGAAUAUUGGACAAUGGGCGCAAGCCUGAUCCAGCCAUACCGCGUGGGUGAAGAAGGCCUUCGGGUUGUAAAGCACUUUUGUUGGGAAAGAAAAGCAGCAGGUUAAUACCUCGCUGUUCUGACGGUACCAAAAGAAUAAGCACCGGCUAACUUCGUG
rnacentral:rRNA from 1 species